AGUGAACGCUGGCGGUAGGCCUAACACAUGCAAGUCGAGCGGAUGAAGAGUGCGUGCUCCUUGAUACAGGGGCGGAGUGGUGAGUAGGGCCGAGGAACCUGCGUGGUAGUUUUUUAUAGGGGGCGAAAACGGGCAAUAAUACGGCAUACGUCCAUAGGACGUACGGGUGAGAGCUGCGGACCUCAGGCCAUUGGACGAGCGUAUGUCCCGAUGUCGGAUUAGCUAGUUGGUGGGGUAAAGGCCCACCAAGGCGACGAUCCGUAACUGGUCUGAGAGGAUGAUCAGCCACACUGGAACUGAGACACGGUCCAGACUCCUACGGGAGGCAGCAGUGGGGAAUAUUGGACAAUGGGCGCAAGCCUGAUCCAGCCAUGCCGCGUGUGUGAAGAAGGCCUUCGGAUUGUAAAGCACUUUUGGUUGGGAGGAAGAGCAGCAAGUUAAUACCCUGCUGUUCUGACGUUACCCACAGAAUAAGCACCGGCUAACUUCGUG
rnacentral:rRNA from 1 species